UACGGAGGGGGCUAGCGUUGUUCGGAAUUACUGGGCGUAAAGCGCGCGUAGGCGGGCUGGCCAGUUGGGGGUGAAAUCCCGAGGCUUAACCUCGGAACUGCCUUCAAUACUGUCAGCCUCGAGUCCGGGAGAGGUGAGUGGAAUUCCUAGUGUAGAGGUGAAAUUCGUAGAUAUUAGGAAGAACACCAGUGGCGAAGGCGGCUCACUGGCCCGGUACUGACGCUGAGGCGCGAAAGCGUGGGGAGCAAACAGG
rnacentral:rRNA from 1 species